UGGGGAAUUUUGCACAAUGGGCGCAAGCCUGAUGCAGCGACGCCGCGUGAGGGAUGAAGGCCUUCGGGUUGUAAACCUUUUUCGCUCAUGGUCAAGCCGCAGCUUUGGGUUGUGGUGAGGGUAGCGGGUAAAGAAGCGCCGGCUAACUACGUGUCAGCAGCCGCGGUAAUACGUAGGGCGCGAGCGUUGUCCGGAAUUAUUGGUCGUAUAGGGCUUGUAGGCGGUUGGCCGCGUCUGCCGUGAAAUCCUCUGGCUUAACUGGGGGCGUGCGGUGGGUACGGGUUGCCUUACGUUCAGUAGGGUAUACUGGAAUUCUCGGUGGAACGGUGGUAUGUGUAGAUAUCGGGAAGAACACCAAUGGCUAAGGCAGGUCUCUGGGCUGUUACUGACGCUGAGAAGCGAAAGCGUGGGGAGCGAACAGG
rnacentral:rRNA from 1 species